UACCUAAAACAUACAUCUAUUCUUUUUACUCAUCUAGAAUUUUUACUCAUCUAGAAAGAGUGCAUUUCCAGAUACCUAGAUGGAUAAAUAAUAUGUAUGAUGAUCUAGACCACUAAAAAAUAUGUAUCUACUCCCCAUAUUCAUUAAAAUGAAUAUGGGGAAUAGAUACUCAUACAAAUGAAUCAUGUGCCAGGAACCAGAUUUGAACUGGUGACACGAGGAUUUUCAGUCCUCUGCUCUACCAGCUGAGCUAUCCCGAC
rnacentral:tRNA from 1 species